GAUGAACGCUAGCGGCAGGCCUAACACAUGCAAGUCGAGGGGUAGAACACUUCGGUGUUUGAGACCGGCGCACGGGUGCGUAACGCGUAUGCAAUCUACCUUGUACAGGGGAAUAGCCCAGAGAAAUUUGGAUUAAUGCCCCAUAGUAUAUAACCUCCGCAUGUUGGUUAUAUUAAAGUUCCAACGGUACAAGAUGAGCAUGCGUCCCAUUAGUUAGUUGGUAAGGUAACGGCUUACCAAGACGAUGAUGGGUAGGGGUCCUGAGAGGGAGAUCCCCCACACUGGUACUGAGACACGGACCAGACUCCUACGGGAGGCAGCAGUGAGGAAUAUUGGUCAAUGGGCGCAAGCCUGAACCAGCCAUGCCGCGUGCAGGAAGACGGUCCUAUGGAUUGUAAACUGCUUUUAUACAGGAAGAAACCCUCCCACGUGUGGGAGAUUGACGGUGCUGUAGGAAUAAGGAUCGGCUAACUCCGUGCCAGCCGCCGCUGUAACAC
rnacentral:rRNA from 1 species